GUAAGAAGAGUUAUGAUGCCAGAAUAGUUGUGCAUUAACAAGUAGCAGUUUGCAAAACGAACUCAGCUUGCAAAUUCGGGGAUUACACAAACCUCCCGUCGAGCAGAAGUGCAAAAACUUGCUUGAUCUUGAUUUUCAGGAUGGGUACAGACCGUGAAAGCGGGGCCUCACGAUCCGUUUGGCUUUUUGGAUUUCAAGCAGGAGGUGUCAGAAAAGUUACUACACAGAUAACUGGCUUAUGGCGGCGAAGUGUUCAUAGCGACAUCACUUUUUGAUUCUUUGAUGUCUGCUAUUAUCAUUGUGAAGCAGAAUUCACCAAGCAUUGGAUUGUUCACCCUCUAAUAGGGAACGUGAGCCGCGUUUAGACCGUUGUGAGGCAGGUUAGUUUUACC
rnacentral:ncRNA from 1 species